AAGAGAACGUGAGAUAUACGUAAUGUAAUGUAAUGUUGAUUNGGGCAAUACUAUAUUAUUAUAUAGGAGAGAAGUAUAAUUAUUGAAAUAAUAAAAGGUCCGAGCAGGUAACAAGCAUUAAUACUAAAUGUGUUUCUACGUCUACUUAUUGGUAAACAAAUUGAUGUCAUCAAAUUUGCAAUUCGUUAGUUGGGUUAAAAGUCGUUGUAAAGCAGAUUUGUUUAUAUAUUUAAUUAAUAUAGGUAGUU
rnacentral:rRNA from 1 species